CUCUUUUGAAAGAUAAAUCUUUCUUCUUUGGCAAGAAUCUGGAAUUAUUUUAAUUUCUUCUUCAUAUCGAAAUCUUCUGCCCUAAUUCUGUCUGCCGUCCUUCAGCCUUACGAAAUCUUCAUCACAAAGGUAAUGGGGAUUUCCGUGUCAUCAGUAUGUAUCUGUGGUAGAAGAAAAAAGAGUUUCAGGUAUGAGAACCAACUUAAGAGUUAUUAGUUAUUAAUUAUUAUAAAGGAAGAUAUGUUCUUGCUUAUAAAGGUGAAGUUAGAAUUGAUGACAACGUUAUCGGAGAAAGGUCUGGUGGCAAGAAGAAAGACUUUCAGGCGUAGAGCGGAAACUGCUGGAGAGGUGGAGGCUUGCAAGCGAUGUAACUGUAAGAAAUCCAAGUUUUUGAGGUUGUAUGUAACUUUGUUGAAGAAGCAACCAGUGAGAGUGUUUUGGUGGAAAACUUGGAGGGGUCGGUGGCGUUGUCGAGGUUGUCAGGAAAUGCAAAGUGAUAGCAUUUCCUGACAACCCUCGACAAUGUCACCGACCUCCUAAUCUGAGCGUGACCCUCUGAAAACAUAAAUGUUUUUCAACUUCACCAUGAAUAGAGAAGAAAGAGACAGUUGGGUUUCUAGCUCCAGUUGUGUUGCAGCCGAAUCAACAGCAAAUUCAACAGCAGUAGUUGUUGAUGCAUGA